GGACAAGGAAACCAUUUCAUAUAAUUGUUGCAGCCCAAAGAAGAGAGUAAUUCCUUCAGACAUUGCUGGCUUUUAUUUUUGUAAAGACUGGUGUUAUGUGAAGUGAUUCUUUCAUGGAUGAUCCUUUUUCAAGUGCCAGCAAGACCAAUGACAGUUAAAACAACAGAGAAGUCAGAGAGAUUUGAGUGAUUUUAUUAUCCUCUGAAGGACCUGCUCCCCAGAGGCUGCAACAGGGAAAGUUCUGCUGGAUUUAAACUGUGGUGCCUUACACCUGGUGUAUUUCCAUGAUUUCUUCAUGAUUAGCAGUGUGGCAUGCAGGCCCACUGUGAAGGAUCAGAUGAUCUGUUUUCUUUUCCCUUGAGGUGAACCGCAUUCGCUUGUGUAAGAAAGCAAAUCUCCAUAGUAGACCUGAAAAGAAGCCUACUGCUUUGGAGAGGGCUCUAACAGGCAUUGAUAUAAACUCCUGACCCCUGCUAAUAUGAUCCUAUUGCCAUGAAGGCUUUUUUAGACAUUUAUUUAUUAGACAUAUAUUUAUUAUAUAAGUAGGUGAUGCCAGCGUGCUCUGCUGGGUUAGAGCUUGUUGACCUAAAUGAUUAUACUAGAAAGAUUUAUUUUCCUCAAAAUGUAAUUACACUCCCAGUCCAAUGAAAUGAACACAGUGGAAAAUCUCACUCCAUUACUUUCGAUGGACUGAGCCUGUGCUAUCCACACUUUGUAGACAAGGAUUCAAGAGACUGGGAAAUAUUUUCACAGCUUAAUUGUAUCACAACUGAACUGUUAAGUAAUUUCCAUGGCUGAGAAUCUUGCAGUAGCAACGACAUUUGUCUUCUGUAGAACAACAGAUAAACUUUGUGUCCAGGCUGGUAUCUACUCAGACAUCUCAUGGUCUGCACACGUCUAAACAAACUGCUUUGACCAUUGAUUUGUAGAUAUUAAUGCAUCAUUCAUGGCUGUGUGAUGGCUGUCAAGUUACUACAGAUAUGCUACAUAAAUCAGAGGUGGAUUUUGACACCCUGCCUAGAAGUUUAAUACUGUUACCUCACAAAUUCAUUAGACUAUUCCACCAGUUUCCAGGAAAAAAAUUAGCAAUAGAUGUUGAUCUGUGACCUACAUGUAUGGAUGAACUAUUGGGAAAUGAAGAUAUGUUUUAAAAUGAGCUGUUAAAUUCCAUUUAUUCCUCUGUAAUUUGAAUGAUUAAAAACUAAGUUGACAAUACUUUGUUAUUUCCAUCACCUUGGGACCUAAGCGCAACUCAUCUAACCUAUGUGAUGCACAACUUACUUAAUACCAGGCUUAAGCGCCAUUUACACACUUGGUGUUGGGGGCGUACAGCCUUACUGUUAAGGAUGAAGGUCCAGAAACCUGGAGAUUGCGGGCAAAUGAUGAAAUGCCCUAGUUUGCACAUCUGAAGAACGUGCAUUCUCAUUUGUAUAAGUGACAUCAAGUUGGACAUGUACCGUAUAAAAGUGACAGCACUGCAGUUUCCCCAACGUUACCUUCUCUGUCCAUUAAAAAA